rnacentral:rRNA from 1 species
GAUGAAAGAUGGUUCUGCUAUCGCUUUUAGAUGGACCCGCGGCGUAUUAACUAGUUGGUGGGGUAACGGCCUACCAAGGUGAUGAUACGUAGCCGAACUGAGAGGUUGAUCGGCCACAUUGGGACUGAGACACGGCCCAAACUCCUACGGGAGGCAGCAGUAGGGAAUCUUCCACAAUGGACGCAAGUCUGAUGGAGCAACGCCGCGUGAGUGAAGAAGGUCUUCGGAUCGUAAAACUCUGUUGUUAGAGAAGAACACGAGUGAGAGUAACUGUUCAUUCGAUGACGGUAUCUAACCAGCAAGUCACGGCUAACUACGUGCCAGCAGCCGCGGUAAUACGUAGGUGGCAAGCGUUGUCCGGAUUUAUUGGGCGUAAAGGGAACGCAGGCGGUCUUUUAAGUCUGAUGUGAAAGCCUUCGGCUUAACCGGAGUAGUGCAUUGGAAACUGGAAGACUUGAGUGCAGAAGAGGAGAGUGGAACUCC